ACACUCAGGGAGACUGGACUUAAACAGCUACACCACCAGAAGCCGAGAGAGAGGCUGGAACAUAGCCUUCCCUUUGGAGGCAGCCUGGUCCGGUGGGCACUGUGAUCUCAGACUUCCAGCCUUCAGAACUACAAGCAAAGUGGAUCAGCAAAGGCUGCAGUCACCAGCAUCUUUUCCAUCCUUAAUUAACUGCAUCCUCAAAAGAACACUAUCAGACUGGUAAGACAAGCAUUAUUGUCCCACUUCACAGAUGAAGAGCUUGGGGGCCCUGUGGAUGUGUAGGAGAGUCGGCCUUCCUUUUUAUAGGCC
rnacentral:lncRNA from 1 species